CAGCCGCCGCGGUAAUACGUAGGUGGCAAGCGUUGUCCGGAAUUAUUGGGCGUAAAGGGCUCGCAGGCGGUUUCUUAAGUCUGAUGUGAAAGCCCCCGGCUCAACCGGGGAGGGUCAUUGGAAACUGGGAAACUUGAGUGCAGAAGAGGAGAGUGGAAUUCCACGUGUAGCGGUGAAAUGCGUAGAGAUGUGGAGGAACACCAGUGGCGAAGGCGACUCUCUGGUCUGUAACUGACGCUGAGGAGCGGAAGCGUGGGGAGCAAACAGGAUUAGAUACCCGCGCAGUCCCUGUCUCUUAUAC
rnacentral:rRNA from 1 species